rnacentral:rRNA from 1 species
GUGCCAGCCGCCGCGGUAAUACAGAGGGAGUGAGUGUUGUUCGGAUUUAUUGGGUGUAAAGGGAGUGUAGGCGGAAGUCUAAGUCAGGGGUGAAAUGUUAGGGCUUAACCCUAAACCUGCCUUUGAUACUGGAUUUCUUGAGUAUGGAAGAGGGCGAUGGAAUUCCUGGUGUAGCGGUGGAAUGCGUAGAUAUCAGGAGGAACACCGAUAGCGAAGGCAGUCGCCUGGGACAAUACUGACGCUGAAACUCGAAAGCAUGGGGAGCAAACAGGAUUAGAUACCCCCGUAGUCC